rnacentral:rRNA from 1 species
GUGGGGAAUAUUGGACAAUGGGCGAAAGCCUGAUCCAGCCAUGCCGCGUGUGUGAAGAAGGUCUUCGGAUUGUAAAGCACUUUAAGUUGGGAGGAAGGGCAGUAAGUUAAUACCUUGCUGUUUUGAUGUUACCGACAGAAUAAGCACCGGCUAACUUCGUGCCAGCAGCCGCGGUAAUACGAAGGGUGCAAGCGUUAAUCGGAAUUACUGGGCGUAAAGCGCGCGUAGGUGGUUUUGUAAGUUGGAGGUGAAAUCCCCGGGCUCAACCUGGGAACUGCCUCCAAAACUGCAUGACUAGAGUACGGUAGAGGGUAGUGGAAUUUCCUGUGUAGCGGUGAAAUGCGUAGAUAUAGGAAGGAACACCAGUGGCGAAGGCGACUACCUGGACUGAUACUGACACUGAGGUGCGAAAGCGUGGGGAGCAAACAGGAUUAGAAACCCGGGUAGUCC